rnacentral:rRNA from 1 species
UAAGACGGGGGGAGCAAGCGUUGUUCGGAUUUACUGGGCGUAAAGGCGUCUAGGCGGAUCAGCAAGUCAGGUGUGAAAUCCCACGGCUCAACCGUGGAACUGCACUUGAAACUGCUGGUCUUGAGUACGGAAGAGGAAAGCGGAAUUCCUGGUGUAGCGGUGAAAUGCGUAGAUAUCAGGAAGAACACCGGUGGCGAAGGCGGCUUUCUGGUCCGAUACUGACGCUAAAGCGCGAAAGUGUGGGGAGCAAACAGGAUUAGAUACCCUGGUAGUCCACACCGUAAACGAUGGAUACUAGGUGUCGGGGACUCGACCUCUCCGGUGCCGCAGCUAACGCGUUAAGUAUCCCGCCUGGGGAGUACGGUCGCAAGGUUG